AAUGUUUUAUUUAUAAAACAUUUUCAUUUUCUUUUUAUUUCUCCCAAACGCCGAACCCGACCCUCCUCUUCACUGCGAUUUCCUCUUCUUCCCCGACUCCCUCUCUCGGUUCCUCCUUGAGCCGAAUCCUCUCUUCUUCCUCUCGCCCGAUCUCUCUCGAUUUCUCUCGCCUUCGCCGCCGAUCCUGAGGAGCUCGUCGCCGGAUCUUGACGGUGCCGAGGAAGACCAGGCUGCCUUCGGCCGAGGGGUCUCUGCUCCGGUGGUUCUUGCGGCCGAACGACGACCCUUGGUGGCUAGGGCACGGUGAGGAACAAGGUUCGUGUCAUCUCCCAACCUACCGACUCCCUCGUCCAUCUUCCUCUAGUUAUUCAUGGAGCGAUCUGCGUCUUCUCUAGCCGAAUCAGACAGUGAUGCCAUCGGGAGGUGAUCUAGAGAGAUUGGUCCUCCUCUUCUUGCGGCUGAGUGGGGAAUUCAGUUGAAGAGGUUGAGACCAGUGAGUGGUGCUUGGGCUGUAGGGCAGAGACUUCAGGUGUUGAUGCUUGAUCAGUAGUCUUCCUGCUUGAUUCCACUGUGAUCCGAUUGAUUUCCAGUGAGGUUGAGUGUCCUGUGGAUCUGGAAUUGUGGUUCCGGCAGCACCUCAACCAGUAGCUCCUUUGGUUUCAACAAUCAACAGCGGUUGCUAAUUGAGGAUCUUUUCUGGUCCAGCAGAUCACUUUGUUUUCCAACAGCUCAAUUGAGUGAGGUUCUGUUGCUGUGAUGCUGGAGUUGUGAUCUUUGAGGUGUAUCCAGCAGCUUUCCCUAACCGGCAGCAACACCUUUGAUUGUGAUCUAUUGGUGAUCACCUUGGA